rnacentral:rRNA from 1 species
AAAGAAACCAACAGGGAUUGCCCCAGUAACGGCGAGUGAAGCGGCAAGAGCUCAAAUUUGAAAGCUGACUCCUUCGGGGUCCGCAUUGUAAUUUGCAGAGGAUGCUUCGGGAGCGGUCCCCAUCUAAGUGCCCUGGAACGGGACGUCAUAGAGGGUGAGAAUCCCGUAUGGGAUGGGGUGUCCGCGCCCGUGUGAAGCUCCUUCGACGAGUCGAGUUGUUUGGGAAUGCAGCUCUAAAUGGGUGGUAAAUUUCAUCUAAAGCUAAAUAUUGGCCGGAGACCGAUAGCGCACAAGUAGAGUGAUCGAAAGAUGAAAAGCACUUUGAAAAGAGAGUUAAAAAGCACGUGAAAUUGUUGAAAGGGAAGCGCUUGCGACCAGACUCGCUCGCGGGGUUCAGCCGGCAUUCGUGCCGGUGUACUUCCCCGCGAGCGGGCCAGCGUCGGUUUGGGCGGUCGGUCAAAGGCCCUCGGAAGGUAACGCCCCUAGGGGCGUCUUAUAGCCGAGGGUGCAAUGCGACCUGCCUAGACCGAGGAACGCGCUUCGGCUCGGACGCUGGCAUAAUGGUCGUAAGCGAC